GAAAAAGCAGAAAGCCUACAAGGAGUGGAAGAAGGGUGGGAUUAGCAAGGAAAGCUACCUUAGUGAGGUCAGAACAUGUAGGGAUAAAGUGAGAAAGGCUAAAAGCCAUGUAGAGUUGGACCUUGCAAAGGGAAUUAAAACCAAUAGUAAAAGGUUCUAUAGCCAUAUAAAUAAGAAGAAAACAAAGAAAGAAGAAGUGGGACCGCUACACACUGAGGAUGGAAAGGAGGUUAAGGAUAACCUAGGCAUGGCCCAAUAUCUAAAUAAGUACUUUGCCUCAGUCUUUAAUAAGGCUAAUGGGGAGCUUAGGGGUAAUGGAAGGAUGACAAACGGGAAUGAGGAUAUGGAGGUGGAUAUUACCACAUCUGAGGUAGAAGCCAUACUUGAACAGCUUAAUGGGACAAAAUCGGAGGGCCCGGACAAUCUUCAUCCGAGAAUAUUAAAGGAACUGGCGCAUGAAAUUGCAAGCCCGUUAGCGAGAAUUUUUAAUGAAUCAGUAAACUCAGGGGUUGUACCGUACGACUGGAGAAUUGCUAACAUAGUUCCUAUCUUUAAGAAAGGGAGAAAGAGUGAUCCGAGUAACUAUAGGCCUGUUAGUUUGACAUCUGUAGUAUGUAAGGUCUUGGAAAAAAUUUUGAAGGAGAAAGUAGUUAAGGACAUUGAGGUCAAUGGUAAUUGGGACAAAGUACAACAUGGUUUUACUAAAGGUAGAUCGUGCCAAACCAACCUGAUCUCCUUCUUUGAGAAGGUGACAGACUAUUUAGACAAAGGAAAUGCGGUAGACCUAAUUUACCUCGAUUUCAGUAAGGCAUUUGACACGGUUCCACAUGUGGAAUUAUUAGUCAAAUUGGAAAAGAUGGGGAUCAAUAUGAGAAUUGAAAGGUGGAUAAGGAACUGGUUAAAGGGGAGACUACAACGGGUCGUACUGAAGGGUGAACUGUCAGGCUGAAAGGAGGUUACUAGCGGAGUUCCUCAAGGAUUGGUUCUGGGACCAAUCUUAUUUAAGCUUUUUAUUAUUGAC
rnacentral:lncRNA from 1 species